AUUGAACGCUGGCGGCAUGCCUAACACAUGCAAGUCGAACGGCAGCGCGGGGCAACCCUGGCGGCGAGUGGCGGACGGGUGAGGAAUACAUAGGAAUCUACCCUGUCGUGGGGGAUAACGUAGGGAAACUUACGCUAAUACCGCAUACGACCGAGAGGUGAAAGCGGCGGACCGCAAGGCGUCGCGCGGCUGGAUGAGCCUAUGUCCGAUUAGCUAGUUGGCGGGGUAAUGGCCCACCAAGGCGACGAUCGGUAGCUGGUCUGAGAGGAUGAUCAGCCACACUGGAACUGAGACACGGUCCAGACUCCUACGGGAGGCAGCAGUGGGGAAUAUUGGACAAUGGGCGCAAGCCUGAUCCAGCAAUGCCGCGUGGGUGAAGAAGGGCCCUUUCGGGGUUGUAAAAGCCCCUUUUUGUACGGGAAAGAAAAUCCUGUCGGUUAAUACCCGGCGGGGAUGACGGUACCGUAAGAAUAAGCACCGGCUAACUUCGUGCCAGCAGCCGCGGUAAUACGAAGGGUGCAAGCGUUAAUCGGAAUUACUGGGCGUAAAGCGUGCGUAGGCGGUUCGUUAAGUCUGUCGUGAAAGCCCUGGGCUCAACCUGGGAAUGGCGAUGGAUACUGGCGGGGCUAGAGUCAGGUAGAGGGUGGCGGAAUUCCCGGUGUAGCGGUGAAAUGCGUAGAGAUCGGGAGGAACAUCCGUGGCGAAGGCGGCCCACCUGGACCAUGACUGACGCUGAGGCACGAAAGCGUGGGGGAGC
rnacentral:rRNA from 1 species